rnacentral:tRNA from 1 species
GGGUUUGUAGUUUAAGAAGAAUGGGGGAUUUGUGGUCUUCAGGUGGGUAGUAAUUCUCCUAAACCCU